UACGGAGGGUGCAAGCGUUAUCCGGAUUCACUGGGUUUAAAGGGUGCGCAGGUGGGUUGGUAAGUCAGUGGUGAAAUCUCCGGGCUUAACCUGGAAACUGCCAUUGAUACUAUCAAUCUUGAAUACCUUGGAGGUGAGCGGAAUAUGUCAUGUAGCGGUGAAAUGCUUAGAUAUGACAUAGAACACCAAUUGCGAAGGCAGCUCACUACACGGUCAUUGACACUGAGGCACGAAAGCGUGGGGAUCAAACAGG
rnacentral:rRNA from 1 species